AGAAUGUUUGAGUGAUGUAAAUGCUUGGUGUAUUUCAGACUGAUUCAUUGGGGGGGGGCAGCCUGAAAAGCUGGAUCAUCUUAAGAGGUUCAAUUAGAGCCUGAGUCUCUUCAGAAAACACAUUGCUAAAAUCCUGCUAAGAGAAAGAAAAAAGUAAAGUCUACUUAUGUCAUUCUUUGAUAUGUCAAAGUUUCUGUCAGAGAUGAUCGAUCACAUCCUUAGACAAUGUCAGCUAUGGUGUGGCUUUUACCUCCAAAGGAUAUAUUUGGAGAUGGAAAAGUUUCAAAAUUGUUUGCCUCCUGAACAUCUCAUCUCUAACAACAACUCUGUAUCCUGUCAUGAGAGAAAUAACUUCUUCUUGAGUUUGUAUGGUCCAAUGAAUACAACGAGAAAAAUGAAACAAUCCCUGCUUCAAAGAGGUUAUAAUCUAUCAGGUCUAACAUCCAUCCAACCAUGGCUGGCAUCUCUCUUCUGGAGCCAAGUUGAACUCCCCCAUAGGAUAUCUCUUCAGGUACCUGAAGAUGAUUUUUGCGAAGUCACCAAGUCUUCUUUUCUUCAAGCCACAAUUCCACAGAUGCUACAACUGAUCAAGUAUUAUAUUGUUCAGUCCUAUUCUGAUUAUACUUUUUUGGAUGUACUCCCACUUAUCUGUGCCUUUUCUAAAAUGAAAUAUCCAAGAAUAAAGACAAUAUUCCAGAUAAAGAGUAACAAGAAUAUGGUGGGGCUGCACCUGAUGUCUUUUUGUUCAUAUUACCAGAUACCUAGGUGACUGAGUAAAUAAAGUGCUGGGCUUGGAGUCAGGAAGUCUUGUGUGCAAAUUUGGCUUUAAUCACUUACUACCAAUGUGACCCUGGGCAAGUCACCUAAAUGCAAUUUCUUCAUCUGUAAAAUGGAGCUAAUAAUUGCACAAACCUCCUAGGAUUGUUGUGAGGAUCAAAUAAGCUGAUAAUUUUUAUUUAUCAUAAUUGAUAUGAUUGAUAUCAUAUUUGAUAAUUGACAUGGCCACCAAAUAAAUGUAUGCUAAACUAAACUCAAAAUCUGUUGCUUCUUGCAAUGUUUCUUGGAGACAC